rnacentral:rRNA from 1 species
UACGUAGGGCGCAAGCGUUAUCCGGAAUUAUUGGGCGUAAAGAGCUCGUAGGCGGUUUGUCGCGUCUGCCGUGAAAGUCCGAGGCUCAACUUCGGAUCUGCGGUGGGUACGGGCAGACUAGAGUGAUGUAGGGGAGACUGGAAUCCUGGUGUAGCGGUGAAAUGCGCAGAUAUCAGGAGGAACACCGAUGGCGAAGGCAGGUCUCUGGGCAUCUACUGACGCUGAGGAGCGAAAGCAUGGGGAGCGAACAGG